UACGGGGGGAGCAAGCGUUGUUCGGAUUUACUGGGCGUAAAGGGCGCGUAGGCGGCCACGACAAGUCACUUGUGAAAUCUCCGGGCUUAACUCGGAACGGUCAAGUGAUACUGUCGGGCUAGAGUGCAGAAGGGGCAACUGGAAUUCUCGGUGUAGCGGUGAAAUGCGUAGAUAUCUGGAGGAACACCGGUGGCGAAGGCGGCAUCCUGGACCGGCAUUGACGCUGAGGAGCGAAAGCAUGGGGAGCGAACAGG
rnacentral:rRNA from 1 species